rnacentral:rRNA from 1 species
UACGAAGGGGGCUAGCGUUGUUCGGAAUCACUGGGCGUAAAGGGCGCGUAGGCGGCUUUGUAAGUCGGGGGUGAAAGCCUGUGGCUCAACCACAGAAUUGCCUUCGAUACUGCAUGGCUUGAGACCGGAAGAGGUAAGUGGAACUGCGAGUGUAGAGGUGAAAUUCGUAGAUAUUGGGAAGAACACCAGUGGCGAAGGCGGCUCACUGGCCAGGUUAUGACGCUGAGGCGCGAAAGUGUGGGGAGCAAACAGG